UAUCGUUCUUAUUAUCAAGUGAGAGGAGGAAGUGGAGUUGAGCCGCUUGCUCGCAAAGGCAGAGGAGGGAAUCGAAAAUGGGACGCGCUAUUCUGUCACACUUUCUCAUCCUUUCAAACCCCGCUCCUCUACUCUCCUCUUCUUCAAUUUCAAAAUUGAAUGGUUUUGCAAGUAAAAGUGUGCGAAUUCGACAAAAUUCAAAAUACAGCAACGGUUUCCGCUGCUACUGCGACGUCUCGCACUCUCAACAAACUUCUCCUGAGAACUCUCCAACCUCUGUGACUGUAAAGAAGAGGAUAGUGUCUGGAGUGCAACCAACAGGAUCUGUUCACCUAGGGAAUUAUCUUGGUGCCAUUAAGAACUGGAUUGCUCUUCAGAAUACAUACGAGACUCUCUUCUUCAUAGUAGACCUCCAUGCGAUUACACUACCAUAUGAUACAAAAGAAUUGUCUAAGGCAACAAGGGAUACAGCAGCAAUUUAUUUGGCUUGUGGUAUAGACGCUUCAAAGGCUUCUGUUUUUGUACAGUCUCAUGUUCAUGCACAUGUAGAGCUUAUGUGGCUUCUAAGUUCUGCCACGCCAAUUGGUUGGCUUAACAGAAUGAUCCAGUUUAAAGAGAAAUCCCGUAAGGCGGGGGAUGAAAAUGUCGGGGUUGCUCUUUUGACUUAUCCAGUUCUUAUGGCUUCUGAUAUUCUCUUGUAUCAGUCUGAUUUUGUCCCAGUUGGUGAGGAUCAGAAGCAACAUCUGGAGUUGACCCGUGAACUGGCUGAGCGUGUUAAUUAUUUAUAUGGAGGAAGGAAGUGGAAAAAAUUGGGAGGGCGAGGAGGUGCUAUCUUUAAGGUCCCUGAACCACUUAUACCACCAGCUGGAGCCCGAGUUAUGUCACUAACUGAUGGUCUUUCCAAGAUGUCGAAGUCUGCACCUUCUGACCAGUCUCGAAUCAAUCUUCUUGAUCCAAAAGAUGUAAUAGCAAACAAGAUCAAGCGUUGCAAAACUGAUUCAUUUCCAGCCCUGGAAUUUGACAAUCCUGAAAGGCCUGAAUGCAACAAUCUUCUUUCGGUAUAUCAGCUUGUUUCAGGCAAGACGAAAGAGGAUGUAGCAAAGGAAUGUCAGGGUUUGAAUUGGGGCUCAUUCAAACCUCUCCUAACAGAUGCCUUGAUUGAACAUCUACAUCCCAUCCAGGUUCGGUAUGAGGAAAUACAUUCUGAUUCGGCUUAUCUGGAUAGUGUUUUGGAGGAAGGUGCCAGAAAAGCUUCAGAGAUUGCAGAUGCCACUCUCAAAAAUGUAUACCAAGCAAUGGGAUUCCUGCGGAGAUAGGCAAGCCUUUUUCAGAAAUCUUAAAAAUCAACUUCCUUUGCCCAGCUUUACAUGGAACAUAACCAUGAGCAUAAACUUGGUGCCUAGGAGGAAUGAUCGUGUAGAUUUUUGUACUCGGAUUGAUUAAGGACUCAUUCAUUCAUUGUCUUUCUUCUCAAAUUCCAGCAGACGCCAUUGUCAUUGGAUCUUUAACUACUUCAAUGAACAGAGAACUGAUUACAACAGCGGGCUAAAGGGUAGAUUAACUCAAUAAGACGUGAGCUAAAAGGGUAUAAGAUGAAAUGACGGUGGACGAAGACAAGAGUCAUGGGUUCUGAAAACUUCAAAUUCUUUUUCUUGAGUGACACUCGAACUUGAAACCUUUUUCUCGAUGGAGGAGGACAGGAGUGUUUAUUAAAUCAUAGGCUUGUUGACAUGGAUGUUACCGACUAGCAUAUCUUGAAUCAGGUACAAAUAUCUACAAGUGUUCACAUGUUUUGGCGAUUA